rnacentral:lncRNA from 1 species
GCAAAAUGUGCUCCUUGAGGUUCAGGUGAUGACUGACAGGUGCAGACCUCUGCAUGGAGGUGAGGAGGAACUUCCAGGAGGACAGAGAGAGCCUGGUCAGAGCUGGCAUGAGGCCUCUGCAGUACCUGUGUGGGAAGAUCCGAGGCUGAAGGGAAAGCCAGGGCUGAGGGGACAGAAGUGGGGGCAGCUGGUGCCAUGACCCAUCAGUGUCCCAUGGACUAUCCCAAGGCAACUGACUUCUCCUUACUAUCUCCUAUCUGAUCUCAAGUCCUAAAUUGUGGAGAACCAGGCCCUCAGAGAGGCUGCUGUGGCCGGUAAAACAGGGGCUAGGCUGGCUGCUUUCAAAGAGGAGGGCGGCGGGGAUAUGAAGAGCUAAAGAAGCUUUUGGACUGUCCCAGAGACAGAACAAGCCCCUCACACAGGUUUUUUCUUUAGUGACCCCAUUCCGCCCCAUGGAUGUCACUUUUUUUUUUUCUUUUUUCUUUUCCUUGUUCCUUUUCUUUUUCGGCGCUUUCUGGGAGGGGGAGCAAAGCGAGGGAGGUGGGAAGAGACUUUUUUUCACAUGAGUCCUCAGAAUUACAGUUCACAAACUAUUCAGUAAACUGACCGGCCUCAACCUCCCCUUCAACGGCCUAAUCUAAGGGGUGGAUCUAUGUGUUUUGUUGCUUGUCAGAAACAAUCGCGGCGCGGCCCAUUACAUUUACAGCACGUCGCCCUUUAAUUGGUGUAACACGCUGAGGCCUGAAAGGAGGAGAGGCCCACAAAGGCGCCGUGAAUGAGCCUUGACUCACACAAAAACACUCUGCAGAAGUUCAGAGCCGGCCACUAACAAGGAGGUAGGGAGUUAGUUUGAAAAGGGGGUGAAGUUCAGAAAUGUGUCACCUUGAGGAGCGUCCCAUCAAAGCAAUGGUCGCAUUGACAAGCUGCAAAGAAAAAAAGUUAAACCUUCAGCGACAUGGACUUGCCUGCAGAUGUAUUCUUCCACUUGAGGAGGGGCAAGGAGAGAGCCGUCUUUCUUUCUCUUCUCCUUUGCCCGCCCUGUGCUCUCUGCUCCCCUUAUUUACUUCAGAGAGCCUUCAAAAAGUCGGAGCCCAAAAGAUUUACCUUCUACUCUCCUGCUAAAAUACACUAUUUAAGAACAAACAUAUUUAAAAACCAGGCAGAACGAGGCUGGUUUAGGCUGCCGCGGCUGAUUUCUGCCUCUGUGGGAACCGAGAUUAUCCUGCCCUCCUGUCUCCCACCUCCCCCACGUUCCAGGGCCGUUCCCUGCUCCUGGGCUGCGUGUUGCGACCUAGGCCCGUGCACAGGAGACCCUGAAGAAGCUGCACCCGAGCGCAAUGAAGACGAGGGUAAGCGCGCCAUGUGGACGCCUUUGCAUCAGGAUGCCAGGAAUUCGCCCACUCUCGGUGGAGGCCACAAGGCCGGCCUCGCUAGGCCCCCUCUCUGCUGCCCAACCCUCGCCUGCCUUCCUUCGAGGGGGCUACCGAAUCUCCCGCGCCAGGGUGGACACCUCCACUCCCCCUUGCCCCCGGGGACGCACCGAGCGCCUGCACCCUCCUCGGCUCGCCCCCUCCCGGCCUUUGUGUGGUGCGGGACCCCGGCCCGCCGCCCCUGUGAACCGCCUGCCCCGCGCGGAGGCGGGGGCACUUUUCAAUGCCUCGCCGCAGCUCCCUCCAGAUUUGUAAUCCGCCAAAAAGCCGCUGAUUGCUGCAAUCGUUACUUUUCAUUAAAAAAACUUAGAAGCAAUUUGGGAGAACUCUUCUCAAUGAAUACAUUUACCCCCGAACGGUCUUUAUUCUCCGCCUCCACUUGAUGAGUUUCUGUGGCACGAAUCCGUUCUUACAGGCACAGAAUGGGCAAUCCCUUGAUCCCCGUCAAUUGUCAUCCCGAGUCGGGGCCACUUUGACCGCCAAUAGCGGGGAAGUCAGAGCUAAUCCUCAGAAG